rnacentral:rRNA from 1 species
CUACGGGGGGCUGCAGUGGGGAAUAUUGGACAAUGGGGGAAACCCUGAUCCAGCAAUGCCGCGUGUGUGAAGAAGGCCUGCGGGUUGUAAAGCACUUUCGGUUGGGAGGACUGCUUCUAGCACUAAUAUUGUUGGAAGUUGACGUUACCUUCAGAAGAAGCACCGGCUAACUCCGUGCCAGCAGCCGCGGUAUACGGAGGGUGCAAGCGUUAAUCGGAAUUACUGGGCGUAAAGCGCGCGUAGGCGGCUAGAUCAGUCGGGUGUGAAAGCCCCGGGCUUAACCUGGGAACUGCAUCCGAUACUGUCUAGCUUGAGUACAGGAGAGGAGAGUGGAAUUCCACAUGUAGCGGUGACAUGCGUAGAUAUGUGGAGGAACACCAAUGGCGAAGGCAGCUCUCUGGCCUGAUACUGACGCUGAGGUGCGAAAGCGUGGGGAGCAAACAGGAUUAGAUACCCUAGUAGUC